GGUAUAAAAUGGGUUUCAGCCAGAGGAUAAAAAUGAAAGAAGGAAUUCUGCCUUCUAAGUUCUUCUGUCAGCAGGGUGUAGAGGAAAGAUCACCCAUAUCUGAUGAAUGGGUGCAAAACAUACGCAUUGAAGGGUAUGAGUCUAUAAGUGAUCCAUUGUUGACUGUCCAAAAAGAAAGAAUAGCCACUGAUCGAGUAAAAAGAGUUCAGAAAAAACAAAUUCAAACUAUGCAGUCUUCAAAUCUUGAAUCAAGAACUAGAGGUGCCCAGGAAUGUGAAAGUAAUAACCAAAGCAUGUUCACGGAAGAUGAAGCCAGUUAUAAAAUGAUAGAAGAAUUGCCUGUGGAAUUUCAGGAUCUGAAGAAUAGAAACAGUGAGGGUAGUUCACGGACUAUAUCUAUUGAAACCGAACAUAUUGAAGAUGACGAUGAGCCAACUGUAACUGUUAAAGAAGAAACAAAUGAAGAUUUAACAACAUACUCCUAUACAGAACCCAUAUCAGUGCAAGAAGUUAUGAAAUGUGAAGACACUAAUACAGAAUAUAAACAAGUUUGUGACAAAAGCACAUCAAAAUACUUUACAGCUGAUAAAUCAGUACAAUAUCAUUACAAACCAAAAUUCAGGAGCAAAGCAGUUCAGACAGUGUUUGUAAACACACAUCCAUCUCCAUUAAGAACUAAUAUGAGUCAUUAUAAUGUAGUGCCACCACCCAAAGAUAGGAUAAAGAUAGAGAUUCGCGAGCUGGAAACAUCGGUACGAAUAGCUGACCGCAAGCUGUAUAGAAGCUGGGAGGCUAUUAGGGACUCCAAGGACCCUGAGGCAUACGAGAGUUUACUAGACGAAGUCAAGAAUAAGCAAAAGACGCUGAGUUAUAUGUUACAACUGAUCGAAAAUCGCCAAGCUCUAUUAUUGAGGGAACAGAAAAACGAAGCUGAAGAUGAUGCAGUAGUGGCCCUGCCUACCCGAAAGAACCAGGAUAACCGAAGAUGCUUCAAACGCAGAAAAAGAGCUCAUGAAUCCAAAUCAGACCACAAAACACAAGUUGCACCGAAACAACUAUUAUUAACGAUGAAUGAUUCUGUUCCAAACAAGAACCGUAGAAAACAGCUUCUAUUACCUGAAAUUCAUAGAAUAGAAGAAUGGUAGGCGUAAUCUUUUAGAUUCAACUGGACCGGAAGCCGAAUAUAUCACCCGAAAGUUAUAUCCCAGAGCAAAGUGAUCACUGAUCAUGAUUCAGGAACCGAAGAGUGUGCCUCUGAAGAUGAAUGACCGGGGCUACAUCGAUCAAAUCAGGAGUCAUGCCUCAUGGCAAGAAAAUCAGCCUUCAGAAUUAUUAUUAACGUUUGACCAUUGUCAGUUUUGUGAAAUGAUACUGGUGAUUAAAAGUAACUCUGUACAUAACCGGGAGCAGCACAGUUGAUGAGACGGAGUCCAGUCGUAGAAGCUCGGAACUACCGUCCAUGGAGAUGUCACAAGAACCAACGCCGAAUAUUAUGUUUUUUACAA